GAUCCUGAUGGCACAGCAGGAGUUUAACCCACUCUAGCAAGGGGCCUGGAAAACUGCAAACUCUGGUCCGAGGAUCGUCACCACUUCAGAAACGGCUUGUCCUCUGCGUGGGAUCUGGUUUUUCACAGAUGCUGAUGUAACAUUCUCUUCUGGAAACAACCCGAGGAGGCACGCCAGGCAAUGUUAAUAUUACAGACUCACAGCUGGGAACACGGAGAGACUUAAAAAUUUUGUUGUGGGCACCAAUCAGCAGCAGCUCAGUGAUGGUGCAGGGCACGUGACCACAGCCAAGGUGAACAUCUCAUGGAGGCUCUGUGCCCACAGCUCCAGUUUGAACCGGUCUGGUCUCAAGGCUCAUUGCACUCUGUACCUCACCUCAGAAAAGAAGAAAAAGAAGGAAGAAGCUUUGGUGGCUGACCAUUGUGCACAAAAGCUAAAAAGUUCUGCAGGCAUUUCCAAUCUCUCUCUUAGAAGGUAAAUGGAAAAGUUGAAGACAAUCACUUGUGUUGAUUCUGUCCAUGUUGAAGCUAACUCCAAGUAUAUUUGCCAAGAUACCGUCUUUAUUCCGAGUGACAAAGUGCCCAGGUAAAUAUGUGAUACCCCAAAGAGAAAGAAAAUGAGUA